AAAGAUUAAAGGGACUGAAACCAAAAUUAGACCAAACAAACGAAAAUUGCAAAUCUAAUAUAAAUAUGAAAGCAGGAAAAAAACCCCGAAAAACUCUCAUCUAAUAGAAGAUUAAAGGGCUUGAAAAUGGGUUCUCAACAAGCUAUGGAAGCAUUCAAAGUAUAUCGUGUCCUUCUCAAAGCAGUGAAAAACCACAUUGGAAAAGAAGAGUAUAAAAAGCAUUUUAGCCAGUAUAUAGCAGAGCAAUUUAGGAAAAACAGUCAACUUUCAGACCCUUCUUUAGUUGCUCAAAGAAUUAAGCUUGCCAAUGAUUAUACUUAUUUGCUUAACAGUGUGCAUCAUCACAAGGACUUAUUGUUCUCAUACAACAUAGCGGUUGAUAGGUCAGAUGAAAUGAAAAGAAUACUUGGAAAAUCAGCUGCAAGUGUUGGUCUCAAGCUUCCUGAGGUUUAUCAGCCUUGAUGUCGGUGGAUAAUAAUUUUCAUCUUCUUCUUUGUCUAGGGGAGAAUAAAAUUCUUCAUCAGGAACCGUCGAAGUUGGUGCUGAAUAAGCGGAGAAUGCCGUUAUGGGUGGGUCUGGUUGGUUUGGGUCCGAUCAUUUUGAGUUUUAAAAAUAUUAGGUUUGGAUUUUUUUUAAGUUCAAAUUGGGUCAUUUCAAAUUUGACAGUUGGAUUUUUCGAGUUUGGAUAAUCUUGGAUUCCUAAGGUUAAUGAAUGCUAUUAUGAUGAAAACGUAUAGGUAUCCAGAUAUUUUUGGUAAAAGUCACGAACAAUGUUAUAAGCUAAAAAUAGAGUAAAAUGCAAACUUAUUUAUGA